ACAAAGUGGAUUGGGGGAGUGCAGACGAAGCAGCCAUGGAUAAUGCAAAGUUGCAAACAAGAAAACAGCACGAAACGAGAAAGGGGGAAGGAAGGGGGAUGAAGAAACCGUCAAAAGGAAAAAGUAAAAUAUCGCAAAGCUAGAGGAAGGAGAGAAGAGAUACCUGGUUAAACCUAGCGACAGGGAGGGCGAGAAGAGAAAGGGGAACAACCGGCGGGGAGAGAGGAGAAACUGAAACAGAAAAAACGAAGAACACAGAAGAGUGAAGGAAGAAAGAGAAUAAGGAAAAGGAGAAAGAACAAACAUUUAUAGAGGAGAUGGAUUCGAAGAGACAGAAAAGGAGGGAAAUCAUUAGGGUUAAAAACUAAGGGUCCAGAUUUAAUCACGGAAAUGGCGGUUGAAAAGGGAGGGUGCAGAUCGAGUCUGGGGCUGUGAAAGGACGUGCACGGGGAAUAGCAAAAGUGUCAGUCAUUAAAUGACAAGACGUCAUGGACAGAGGAAAGAAACCCUACGAAGACAAGAAAGCACCAAACGCUCGAUACAAUUACAAAAAGAAAUCCAAAAACCUCUCACCCCAGAAAUACCAGAGAAUCGGCGCCGACUAAAGCCUG
rnacentral:lncRNA from 1 species